GUGACCAGCUUAGAGGAGGAGGAACCAGAGGUAGCUGGCAGGAUCACUCGUUCCAGAGCUAGAGAGAUGGCUAAGGAGGCUCACGCACUCAUUGCCACAGAGGACAGCGAUCACCAGGAGGCUGGAGCUCACAUCUUCAACAUCUCUAUCUUGAAGAAUGAGGAACCCAGUAACAAUGACUAGGUAACUUAGGUGAUGGUUCUGUACUCUUUUCCUUGGUGAAGAUUUUGGAAGGCAAGGAGGUUCUUCUCCAAGGUUUUUAACGAGGCAGAAAUCAUUGCUACGUCGAGUUACUUAGAAGUUGUUACUAAUGGGUAAUAACGUGCAAAGUCACAAUGACUUGUGCACUAGUUGUUUUAGGCGCACCACUUAGGUUUAGAAGGGACGCCUCGCUGUUUUAUUUUUAAAUUAAACUUCUUGUUGUUUUAUUUCAAACUCCAUGUUGUUUUGUUAUUAGGGCUGCGAUUUUCUCUCUUAGUCUAUAAAAAAGAGAAAAUCGCCUAAGUCAUAUUCAGUGAAGAAUUUUGAUCAAACUUUUAACGUGUUCUUCUCUCUUUUUGAUUUCUGAGAACUAAAAACUCUGAAAUUCGAAUAUCUUAAAAACUAAUCUGUUUACAAGAGAUUCUUCUAUCUUAUCAUCUCACCAUCAUCACCAUCGAUCCGCCGAGCCACCAUCAUCUCCAUCGAUCCGCCACACCACCAUCGCACAUCCACGAUUCGAUCUGCCGAGUCUCCACCAUCAUCUCUCAUCGUCGCGAGCCAUCCUCGUAUCACUACCACCAUCCUUUUCGCUUCAUCGUUUCAGUCUAUCCACCAUAUCGCCGCAUCCAUUGUUCUUUGCUUCAUAGUAGAUCACCUUGGAUCGUAUCACGUGGUAUCAGAGCCAACUCUGAACCAAAGGCUGAGCGAAACUCUAACCCUAAUCUCUGUGCUUUGAAUUUUCGUCUCUGUGAUAUUAGGGUUAGCGAGUUUUGUGACUAUGUGCAUCGAUUUGAUUCCUUUUGUUUCAUAUCAUCGCAUCGUUCCCUCUUGUUUUGUGUUUAGGAUCGAUCGCUGUUAGGAUUCCUGUUAGAUCGUGUUCGUCUCAAGUUUAUUUCGAGUCUGAUUGUUUUUUUUCGAGUCUGCUCAUUCAUUGUUUUCGUUCGGAUCGAUACGAGUCUGCGUGUAGUCGUGUUCUUAGGGUUUGUUAAGAGUCUGCGCGACUUCGUUAGGUUUGUUAGGGUUUCGUGAUCUCGUAACUCGUUUGUUAGUGUGUUAGGGAUCCGUUAGUCUUCGAUUUUUGUUGUUAGGCCUCGUUUUUCAUCGUUUCGUUAAAUUUCAUUAGUUUCGUUAAGUUUGUUUUUAGAUUUCGUGGGGAUCUUUUAAUUUUUUUUUAUGAUGCGUUUAGUUUUGCUGUUUUUGUGAUUUCUUCUAGAACAAGUUACUGCGAGUUUUUUUUUAAAAAAUUUUCAGGUACCAUGGAGCUUUCGGCUGAGGCGAUGGAAGCUCUGAACCGAGCAAUGUCUCAACAAAUUAAAGAAGCGAAUCAGGCCAUAGCAACUCAGCUCACACAACAAAUCGAACAACUCAAUGACAAGUUCGAGACGAAAAUGACUGAUCUGCUCAAAGACCUCAGUGCAAGUGGAGAAGAGUCGUCUCAAACUCCAACUCCUUCGGAAGCAAUGCGCUUAGCAAAGGGUAAAGGGCACAUAGGAUCUUCCCGGAAACUUCCACGCCACCCAACACCUUCCGAAGCCAGGACUAAAGCUAAGUCCAGUCGAAGCCAGAUUGGGGGCAGAGAGACUACGUUUAAUCCGAGGAGGGAUCCUACUGGUGCAGAACGAGAUGGCCCAAGGGUAGAUCGUCAGCACCGCCGAGAGGAAUAUAUUGCUGGGCAUCGAGUUACCCUGGAAUCAGAUCCAGAAUACUAUGAGGAGGACGAAGCUUCUGAUCAUAGCAGAGAAACUGUGAGACGAGAUCGAGGCCGAGGACAUGCACGAGAUUAUGAUCCUCUACGUCAGCAGCUGCGUCAUAUCAAAAUCCAGUAUCCUCCUUUCCAUGGAACCAAUGAUCCCGAAGCUUAUCUAGAUUGGGAAAGGAAGAUGGAGUCUAAUUUUCUGGUCCAAGGAACUUAUGAGCUCAACAAGGUGAAGAUUGCAGUUUCAGAAUUUCAUGGGUAUGCGCUUCUAUGGUGGGAGCAGUUGGGAGUCACCAGAAAUCGCCUGAGGGAACUUCCGAUUACUACUUGGGAUCAGCUUGUUAUACAGAUGAGGAAGCGGUUCGUUCCAGCCCAUCAUCAGCGCGAGAUACUCAACAGGCUUAGGCGCCUUGUCCAAGGUACGAAGUCUGUUCGAGAUUAUUAUCAAAAAUUGGAAACCUUGCUCAUUCGUGCAGAUUUACGAGAAGGCGAAGAGAUGGUAAUGUCGAGAUUUCUUGGAGGACUUAACCGAGAAAUUCAAGACAAGGUGGAACUUCAGGAUUUCGCAGAUAUACAAGAGAUGGUGCAUAAGGCUGAAUUGGUGGAAUCUCAAGUUAAGAGGCGAAAUUUCAAGUCCACAUUCACGCCUAGUGUGCCUAAGCCUAAGGAGAUCAGCAAGCCAGCUUACUCCAGAGACAUCAAACCGCCAUCUACUGGAGUUAAAGAAGAAGCUAAAGCUGAGUUCAAGCCUCGAGGUGGCACUUCUAUCAGCAAUGUGAGGUGUUUCAAAUGUCAAGGAAUGGGACAUUACUCUCAAGAUUGCCCAAACAAGAAGGUUUUCUUGUUACAUGAGGGAGGAGAGAUAGUUCCUCAAGAGGAUUCAGAGGCCGAAUAUGAAUUAGAGGAAGAGGAAGAAGCUGCUGCUGUGGGCGAGAUGCUGGUUGCCAGAAGGACUUUGAGUGUUCAGAGUCAACCUGAAGAGACUUGUCAGCGAGAGAACCUGUUCCAUACGAGAUGCUUCAUUCAAGGAAAAGUUUGUAGCCUGAUCAUAGAUGGAGGAAGUUGUACUAAUGCUGCAAGCGAAGAGAUGGUUAAGAAGCUCCAGCUCAGGACUAUUCCUCAUCCAAGGCCGUAUAAGCUUCAGUGGUUGAAUGACAGUGGAGCCUUGACCGUAUCUCAGCAAGUGAUGGUUUCUCUAUCCAUUGGGAAGUAUGAAGAUGAGAUUCUAUGUGACGUCAUUCCCAUGGGUUCGAGUCAUGUGUUGCUAGGCAGACCGUGGCAAUCAGAUCGUAGGGUGAUACACGACGGUUACACCAACAAGCACUCAUUCGAGUUCAAAGGUCGCAAUUACCCUCCUACCUCUCACGCCUACCGAGAUUUAUCAAGAUCAAGUUCAAAUGAAGCUCAAGGAGAAGGAGAAAGUCGCCAACAGCCUCUACAUAAACCACAGUGAAUUUUCUAAACUCUUUGAUCCUGAAAUGACUACUUUUAUGUUUGUGUACAAGGAAUCCCUUGUUAGUACUAACCCUUCACAGGAGCUUCCUAGUGCUAUGUUUGAGAUUUUGCAGGAAUACAAGGACGUUUUUCCAGUAGAAAUUCCACCAGGGCUACCUCCAAUUCGCGGGAUAGAGCAUCAGAUUGACUUGGUACCAGGAUCAGCCUUACCUAACAGGCCAGCAUACCGAACCAACCCUGUAGAGACUAAGGAGCUGCAAAAGCAAGUGGAAGAGCUGAUGAGCAAAGGCCAUAUCCGAGAAAGCUUGAGUCCAUGUGCGGUUCCAGUUCUGUUGGUGCCAAAGAAGGAUGGUUCCUGGAGGAUGUGUGUAGACUGCCGAGCUAUCAACAACAUCACUGUGAAGUAUCGGCAUCCGAUCCCAAGGCUAGAUGAUAUGCUGGAUGAGCUCUGUGGGUCGACAAUCUUCUCUAAGAUCGACUUGAAGAGUGGAUAUCAUCAGAUCAGAAUGAAGGAAGGGGAUGAGUGGAAGACGGCAUUCAAGACAAAGCAGGGACUCUACGAGUGGCUAGUUAUGCCGUUUGGUCUCACCAAUGCUCCCAGCACCUUCAUGAGACUAAUGAACCAUGCCCUGAGACCAUUCAUUGGCGUGUUCGUAGUGGUUUAUUUCGACGAUAUCCUCAUCUACAGUAAAGGUUUGGAAGAACAUCUAGAUCACAUCAGAUCGGUUCUUGAUGUUCUUCGCUCUCAAUCUCUCUUUGCUAAUUUAUCUAAAUGUUCAUUCUGCACUAAUGAGAUUGUUUUCUUAGGCUUUGUAGUAAGUGCAGGAGGAGUUAAAGUAGAUGAAGAGAAGAUAAAAGCUAUCAAGGAGUGGCCAACCCCCAAGAAUAUUGGAGAAGUCCGAAGUUUCCAUGGCUUAGCAGGAUUCUACAGGCGUUUUGUUCGUGAUUUCAGCACCAUAGCCGCGCCUUUAACCGAAGUAAUCAAGAAAGACGUGGGGUUCAAGUGGGGAGAGGCGCAAGAACAGGCUUUUACCGCCCUUAAAGAGAAGCUUAUCAAUUCGCCCUUACUAGUACUUCCUGAUUUUACUAAGACUUUUGAGAUUGAAUGCGAUGCUUCUGGUGUAGGUAUUGGAGCAGUUCUUAUGCAGGAUAAGAAGCCCGUCGCUUACUUCAGCGAAAAGUUAGGAGGAUCAACGUUGAAUUAUCCCACGUAUGACAAGGAGUUAUACGCAUUGGUUCGAGCUCUCCAGACGUGGCAGCAUUACCUAUGGCCUAAGGAAUUCGUCAUUCAUACCGAUCACGAGUCCUUAAAGCACCUCAAGGGUCAGCAGAAGCUUAACAAAAGACAUGGGCGAUGGAUGGAGUUCAUUGAGACAUUCCCCUACAUUGUUAAGUACAAAAAAGGUAAAGAUAAUGUGGUCGCAGACGCAUUAUCCCGGAGGUACACUCUUGUUUCGACUUUAACAUCAAAGUUGAUUGGAUUUGAGCAUAUUAUAGAUCUUUAUGAAUCUGAUACUGACUUUUCUGAGAGCUAUGCCAAAUGUCAUAAGUUUGCCUGUGAGAAAUUUUAUAGACAGGAUGGAUACUUGUUCUUCAGUAACCGAUUGUGCAUACCACGAGGAUCCAUUCGAGAGUUAUUGGUACGAGAAGCUCAUGGAGGUGGAUUAGCUGGACAUUUCGGUGUCACAAAGACACUUCUUGGGCUACAAGAGCACUUCUACUGGCCGAACAUGAAGAAGGACGUUGAGAAAAUCUGCUCUAGAUGUGUCGUAUGUAAGAUGGCCAAGAGUAAAGCUCAACCUCAAGGUUUGUAUACUCCUUUGCCUAUUCCUUCUCAACCUUGGACUAAUAUCUCUAUGGAUUUUGUAGUUGGCUUACCUCGCACCAGAAAUGGUAGAGAUUCUAUUUUUGUAGUUGUUGACAGGUUUAGCAAGAUGGCUCACUUCAUCGCUAGCCACAAGACAGAUGAUGCUGUGAAUGUAGCUAACUUGUUUUUCAGGGAAGUAGUACGACUGCAUGGAAUGCCACAGGUUAUCGUUUCAGAUCGAGACACGAAGUUCUUAGGACACUUUUGGCGAACGCUUUGGGCUAAGCUGGGAACAAAGCUCUCAUUCUCAACUACGUGUCAUCCUCAGACCGAUGGACAGACCGAGGUGGUGAAUAGAACGUUGUCCACACUUCUAAGGACUUUGGUGAAAAGUAACCUCAAGACAUGGGAAGAGUGCCUGCCUCAUGUCGAGUUUGCUUACAAUCACGCUAAGCAUUCUGCUACUCUCUUUUCUCCUUUUGAAAUUGUAUAUGGGUUUAAUCCACAAUCACCUCUAGACUUGAUCCCUUUGCCUUUAAGUGGAAAAUGCAGUUUAAAUGGCAAGGAGAAAGCUGAACAGGUCAGAAGAAUUCAUGCUAAGGCUAAGGAGAAUAUCGAGAAAAAGACAAAGCAGUAUGAGAAGCAUGCCAACAAAGGACGAAAGGAGCUGAUUUUUGAAGAAGGCGAUCUGGUGUGGAUCCAUCUGAGGAAGGAGCGAUUUCCAGCUGAACGAAAGAACAAGCUAAUGCCCAGAGUGGAUGGACCAUUCGCAGUCAUCAAAAGAAUCAACAACAACGCAUAUCAGAUUGAUCUUCAAGGUAAGUAUGACGUUUCUGAUGCUUUCAAUGUUUCUGACUUGCUUCCUUAUGUUGAAGAUUCAGAUUUGAGGACAAAUCCUUUUCAAGAGGGAGAGGAUGAUAUGAUCGUGACCAGCUCAGAGGAGGAGGAACCAGAGGUAGCUGGCAGGAUCACUCGUUCCAGAGCUAGAGAGAUGGCUAAGGAGGCUCACGCACUCAUUGCCACAGAGGACAGCGAUCACCAGGAGGCUGGAGCUCACAUCUUCAACAUCUCUAUCUUGAAGAAUGAGGAACCCAGUAACAAUGACUAGGUAACUUAGGUGAUGGUUCUGUACUCUUUUCCUUGGUGAAGAUUUUGGAAGGCAAGGAGGUUCUUCUCCAAGGUUUUUAACGAGGCAGAAAUCAUUGCUACGUCGAGUUACUUAGAAGUUGUUACUAAUGGGUAAUAACGUGCAAAGUCACAAUGACUUGUGCACUAGUUGUUUUAGGCGCACCACUUAGGUUUAGAAGGGACGCCUCACUGUUUUAUUUUUAAAUUAAACUUCUUGUUGUUUUAUUUCAAACUCCAUGUUGUUUUGUUAUUAGGGCUGCGAUUUUCUCUCUUAGUCUAUAAAAAAGAGAAAAUCGCCUAAGUCAUAUUCAGUGAAGAAUUUUGAUCAAACUUUUAACGUGUUCUUCUCUCUUUUUGAUUUCUGAGAACUAAAAACUCUGAAAUUCGAAUCUCUUAAAAACUAAUCUGUUUACAAGAGAUUCUUCUAUCUUAUCAUCUCACCAUCAUCACCAUCGAUCCGCCGAGCCACCAUCAUCUCCAUCGAUCCGCCACACCACCAUCGCACAUCCACGAUUCGAUCUGCCGAGUCUCCAC
rnacentral:lncRNA from 1 species